AAUUGAUCUCUUCAUGUUUUAUCAUUCUCUAUUUAGUUAUGGCUCUCCCAAAUCAAGGUCUAGAUUUACAAAUUUCAAAUUCAUCAAAUACAAGUAAGCAACAAGAAGAAUAUACAAAUACCAUAAAAAUUGGAAGAGGAAGAACUAUUGGCUUAGGUAUUGUAAAAAAGAAAAAGAAGAGCGUUAUUGGAAAAUUGCAAUAUAAUUUUGGAACUUGAUCACAAAGAUAAUAACAUGACUCCAGAAAAAUUGUCAGAUAAGAGUAUUUCAACUAUUUCAUCAAGAAAGCUUCGAAGCAAAAAUAUAAAGAUGAAUUAAUAAUCAUGUUGGCGAGAGUCAUAAUUU